CAGCACCCCGAGUGGUCGGGACGUUUAUUGGGCCUAAAGCAUCUGUAGCCGGUUCUACAAGUCUUCCGUUAAAUCCACCUGCUUAACAGAUGGGCUGCGGAAGAUACUAUAGAGCUAGGAGGCGGGAGAGGCAAGCGGUACUCGAUGGGUAGGGGUAAAAUCCGUUGAUCCAUUGAAGACCACCAGUGGCGAAGGCGGCUUGCCAGAACGCGCUCGACGGUGAGGGAUGAAAGCUGGGGGAGCAAACCGGAUUAGAUACCCGAGUAGUCC
rnacentral:rRNA from 1 species